UAGGUUCUAGGAUUUGAGCCAGGAUUAAUUAUCCUGAAAGCCUAGGCCAGGUGUAGUGGUAGCAACUACCUCAGGGCUGGAGGGCAUGGAGCCAAGAAGGAAACAUCUCAGAUAACCAGAUGGAAACAUCAGAUAGGUAAGAUUUGAAGUGAAAGUGACAUUGAAAUAAUGGUGUGUGUAAGAACCUCUUCUUGGAGAAAGAAAGAGAAGUGGUGGUCAACAACGUCACCACUGAGAAUGAGGACAGAGAAAUGACCACGUGGGGUUUGAUGCAAAGAGAGCACUUGAAACCCCUGGGAGAGCAGAUUCAGGGGGUGACAAGAAGAUAAGUGAUGUCCAGGAAGCCUGUGGGAGGGAAUGGCUGGUGACAUUUUGACCAUGAAGGUUUUCACAGUGAAAAAUGUCAUACCGGAGCCAAGUAAUUGAACUUUUUGGGUCACUUGGAAAGAUUAAUGAUGUCUCUCCAUCCUGACAAUUCCAGAAUGCAGAGCAUGUGGAGUGAGUGUACUGCUUUGCUAAGAGUUCCAGAGGUUCUCUGACAGGGGAGUUAUCAA
rnacentral:lncRNA from 1 species